UGGGGAAUUUUCCGCAAUGGGCGAAAGGCCUGACGGAGCAAUGCCGCGUGGAGGUGGAAGGCCUACGGGUCGUCAACUUCUUUUCUCGGAGAAGAAACAAUGACGGUAUCUGAGGAAUAAGCAUCGGCUAACUCUGUGCCA
rnacentral:rRNA from 1 species